AGAAUGAAAGUCUCAGUGUAAGAGUGGCAGCAGCUGCACAGAAUCUUAUAACAGUGCUCACUCAGGACAUUGCCCAGGGACAGCACAAGGCCACUCAAGAUCUUUCCCAGGUAUUUAUCAGAGGAAGAGUUACCUUGGAAAAAGAAAAAGGCAGUGUCAAAAGACUUUCAGCCAUUCGCCACCCAAAAAAUGGAAACCUUUCAAUUUGUAUGUUUUGGUGCUCAACAAAAAUCCAGAGGUAACUCCAUCCUAAUCCAAGGAGUUUGAGCUUACCCAGGCAGGGCUCAGUAAAAGCCUUACAAUGUCUAGGGACAUGACCCAUGAAGAGGUCUAACAGGAGGAUGGCUCCUUUGCAAGGCUACAGGUGAUCAGGGUAGAAGGAAAUUGAACGUGGUUCCUCCUGACUCAAAUGGGUACACAGGGUCCCAGGUGCGGACCGUGAGCGACACUGGGAAAUACAUCUUGUUUGUUGUGUUGUUUCUGUACUGAAGACAUAAUGGAAAUAAUCUCACAGAGGGUUGACAGAGAAAACCAGUUCAGAAUACAGGUCUCUAGAGAACCUACUGGAGAGAGGGAUUCUCCAGUGGCAGCAGCAUAAAAAGUUCUCCAACUGCAGCUUUAUGUGUCAUUCUUUGGAGAAGCUGGAGUUGACACAGGAGCUCUGCGUAAAGAAUUUCUGACAGAAAUGAUGGCAGAGCUAGAAGGCCGCUUCUUUGAGGGGCCCAAGAAUCAGAAGUGCCCUCGAUACUCUGUUACCGACUUUGACAGUGGUGUCCUCAGUACUGUUGGUGAAAUUUUCGCAUUUAGCUUGGCUCAACGUGGCCCUGCACCUUCAUUUUUAAGUCCGUGGGCCUACAGUUAUACCUGCAAUGGACACCCUGCAAGUCUAAGGAGUGAUAUGGUGGCUGAUUUGCAGUUGCAGUCCUUAAAUUGAGCAGUUUCAAUUUUGGGCCUUUCUGAUGUUAUUAAACGGUGGCUUCAGUGGAGCAAUAUCUGUGACCAAUAAGGAGCGGAUACUCCGUGCCAUCACUCUCCAUGGAGGGCUUAGGUUGCUUCCAAUGUUGGAUCAGCUUAAGGAAGGCUUACAGCUGUAUGGCCUUGCUGAGCUGCUGAAUCAGUACCAUGAGAUCUGCAGGCCCCUGUUUGUAGCAGGGCAAGAUAUUGAAGCAAAUGCAGAGUUUAUGUCUGCCAUUUCCCCUGAACUAAGUGAAAAGGGAACGAGCAAAUAUCAGGUUGGGGUGAAGGUGGUGAACUUCCUUCAAGACUUCUUGUAUAAAGUUGAAGGUAA